ensembl:lncRNA
GGCCACUCUGUGUUCUUGUGCCCCCUAUCCCUGUACCCCGUCACCCUCUCUUCACACGUCGGGAGUGUGUUGGCACGACGGCGGCUGUCUGUCUGUUAGGGGCCGAUUGAGUGACAUCUGCUCCGGAGAGAGGGAGAGGGACGGACUUGCUGCUCUUGGCAACGGUGGCGGUGCGGGCUCUGGCACAAGGCACGGUUUUCUUAAAACAAACACCAUUAAUGAAGCAGUGCGCUGACAUCUGCAGGAAACCAACAACUAAAUGAAUGCGAGAAGCAACAUCCCAUCUCAGCCUUCCCACGCUACUGAAUCCUCCCACCACCAGUCAGUGUUGUCAAGGCGAUAUACAGUUGAUGUGCUGUAAAUUGAUUUCCGGGGAGAUGUGAUGGAUGAAUGGAAAAUGAACAUCUUCAUCAGUGACCUCUCCGCGCCGUCGUCUCAUUGCUUCUCCUCACGCCCGCCCAUGAUUGACAAGCGCGCUAACGAGCGCUGUCGCCGGUCCUGUUCUUAUUUCCCUGUGUGGGAAACACGGCGAGUCUCCGGCCCUACGGUAAUGAGCCCUACAAAGAGAAGGAGAGGACAGGAAGGAAGACUCGCCCUGAAGAGAUGGAAGACGGAAUGAAAGAAGUCCAAGUAAAUAAUAUAGAAAGGGCCAAC